rnacentral:rRNA from 1 species
CCUACGUGAGGCAGCAGUAGGGAAUCUUCCACAAUGGGCGAAAGCCUGAUGGAGCAACGCCGCGUGGGUGAAGAAGGUCUUCGGAUCGUAAAACCCUGUUGUUAGAGAAGAAAGUGCGUGAGAGUAACUGUUCACGUUUCGACGGUAUCUAACCAGAAAGCCACGGCUAACUACGUGCCAGCAGCCGCGGUAAUACGUAGGUGGCAAGCUGUAUCUGGAUUUAUUGGGCGUAAAGGGAACGCAGGCGGUCUUUUAUGUCUGAUGUGAAAGCCUUCGGCUUAACCGGAGUAGUGCAUUGGAAACUGGGAGACUUGAGUGCAGAAGAGGAGAGUGGAACUCCAUGUGUAGCGGUGAAAUGCGUAGAUAUAUGGAAGAACACCAGUGGCGAAAGCGGCUCUCUGGUCUGUAACUGACGCUGAGGUUCGAAAGCGUGGGUAGCAAACAGGAUUAGAUACCCGGGUAGUC